UGCAUAUCAAUAAGCGGAGGAAAAGAAACCAACAGGGAUUGCCUCAGUAACGGCGAGUGAAGCGGCAAAAGCUCAAAUUUGAAAUCUAGUACCUUCGGUGCUCGAGUUGUAAUUUGAAGAUGGUAACCUUGGGUUUGGCUCUUGUCUAUGUUCCUUGGAACAGGACGUCAUAGAGGGUGAGAAUCCCGUCUGAUGAGAUGCCCAUUCCUAUGUAAGGUGCUAUCGAAGAGUCGAGUUGUUUGGGAAUGCAGCUCUAAGUGGGUGGUAAAUUCCAUCUAAAGCUAAAUAUUGGCGAGAGACCGAUAGCGAACAAGUACAGUGAUGGAAAGAUGAAAAGAACUUUGAAAAGAGAGUGAAAAAGUACGUGAAAUUGUUGAAAGGGAAGGGCAUUAGAUCAGACUUGGUGUUUUACGAUUAUCUUCUCUUCUUGAGUUGUGCACUCGUAUUUCACUGGGCCAGCAUCGAUUCGGAUGGUAAGAUAAUGACAGUUGAAUGUGGCUUCACUUCGGUGGAGUGUUAUAGCUUCUGUUGAUAUUGCCUGUCUGGAUCGAGGGCUGCGUCUUUUGACUAGGAUGCUGGCGUAAUGAUCUAAUGCCGCCCGUCUUGAAACACGGAC
rnacentral:rRNA from 1 species